rnacentral:tRNA from 1 species
GGGGUGAUCGGGGGUGAUCUCCGCGGAUUUGCAAGCCGGGUGUCAGGGGUUCGAAUCCCCUAGGCUCCACCC